UUUAAUGAGAGUUUGAUCCUGGCUCAGGACGAACGCUGGCGGCGUGCCUAAUACAUGCAAGUAGAACGCUGAAGUCUGGUGCU
rnacentral:rRNA from 1 species